rnacentral:rRNA from 1 species
UGGGGAAUUGUUCGCAAUGGGCGCAAGCCUGACGACGCAACGCCGCGUGGAGGAUGAAGACCUUCGGGUCGUAAACUCCUUUCGAUCGAGACGAAUGGCCUCCGGGUGAACAAUCCGGAGGAGUGACGGUACCGAGAGAAGAAGCCCCGGCUAACUCCGUGCCAGCAGCCGCGGUAAUACGGGGGGUGCAAGCGUUGUUCGGAAUUACUGGGCGUAAAGCGCGUGUAGGUGGUCGAGUAAGUCGAAUGUGAAAGCCCCGGGCUCAACCCGGGAAGUGCAUCCGAAACUGCUCGACUAGAGUCCCGGAGAGGAAGGCAGAAUUCCCAAUGUAGGGGUGAAAUCCGUAGAUAUUGGGAGGAAUACCGGUGGCGAAGGCGGCCUUCUGGACGGUGACUGACACUCAGACGCGAAAGCGUGGGGAGCAAACAGGAUUAGAUACCCCCGUAGUCCCUGAGCGGGCUGGCAAGGCGCAU